rnacentral:rRNA from 1 species
GACGUAGGAAGCAAGCGUUGUCCGGAAUUACUGGGCGUAAAGAGCUCGUAGGCGGGAUCGUAAGUCUUAGAGUAAAUCUCACGGCUCAACCGUGGGGCCUUCUGAGAUACUGCGAUUCUUGAGGAUGUCAGAGGAAAGUGGAAUUCCCGGUGUAGCGGUGAAAUGCGUAGAUAUGUGGAGGAACACCGAUGGCGAAGGCAGCCCCCUGGGUCAACACUGACGCUCAUGCACGAAAGCGUGGGGAGCAAACAGG